GAUGAACGCUGACAGUAUGCUUAACACAUGCAAGUCAACUGGUGGCGGACGGGGGAGUAACACGUAUGGCACUUGACUUACCGCUAGGGACAACAUAUGGAAACGAAUGCUAAUACCUAACACUGUGAGAGAGCUUUGCGUCCCAUUAGCUAGUUGAAGAGGUAACGGCUCACCAAGGCGAUGAUGGGUAGCCGGCCUGUGAGGGUGAUCGGCCACAAGGGCACUGAGACACGGCCCUUAGUCCUACGUGCGGCAGCAGUGGGGAAUAGUCGACAAAGGAUCGAAGUCUGAUCCAGCAAUUCGGUGUGCACGAUGAAGUUUUCGGGAUGAAAAGUGCUUUCAGUUGGGAAGCGGUACCAACAGAAGAAGUGACGGCUAACUACGUGCCAGCCGCCGCGGUAAUAC
rnacentral:rRNA from 1 species